CGCACGGGUGCGUAACGCGUAUAGAACCUACCUUAUAUUGGGGAAUAGCCCAGAGAAAUUUGGAUUAAUACCCCAUAGUAUUAUUGAAUAGCAUUAUUUAAUAAUUAAAGAUUUAUCGAUAUAAGAUGGCUAUGCGUUCUAUUAGCUAGUUGGUAUGGUAACGGCAUACCAAGGCAACGAUAGAUAGGGGUCCUGAGAGGGAGAUCCCCCACACUGGUACUGAGACACGGACCAG
rnacentral:rRNA from 1 species